GAGCGAACGGACGAGAAGCUUGCUUCUCUGAUGUUAGCGGCGGACGGGUGAGUAACACGUGGAUAACCUACCUAUAAGACUGGGAUAACUUCGGGAAACCGGAGCUAAUACCGGAUAAUAUUUUGAACCGCAUGGUUCAAAAGUGAAAGACGGUCUUGCUGUCACUUAUAGAUGGAUCCGCGCUGCAUUAGCUAGUUGGUAAGGUAACGGCUUACCAAGGCAACGAUGCAUAGCCGACCUGAGAGGGUGAUCGGCCACACUGGAACUGAGACACGGUCCAGACUCCUACGGGAGGCAGCAGUAGGGAAUCUUCCGCAAUGGGCGAAAGCCUGACGGAGCAACGCCGCGUGAGUGAUGAAGGUCUUCGGAUCGUAAAACUCUGUUAUUAGGGAAGAACAUAUGUGUAAGUAACUGUGCACAUCUUGACGGUACCUAAUCAGAAAGCCACGGCUAACUACGUGCCAGCAGCCGCGGUAAUACGUAGGUGGCAAGCGUUAUCCGGAAUUAUUGGGCGUAAAGCGCGCGUAGGCGGUUUUUUAAGUCUGACGUGAAAGCCCACGGCUCAACCGUGGAGGGUCAUUGGAAACUGGAAAACUUGAGUGCAGAAGAGGAAAGUGGAAUUCCAUGUGUAGCGGUGAAAUGCGCAGAGAUAUGGAGGAACACCAGUGGCGAAGGCGACUUUCUGGUCUGUAACUGACGCUGAUGUGCGAAAGCGUGGGGAUCAAACAGGAUUAG
rnacentral:rRNA from 1 species